rnacentral:rRNA from 1 species
UACGUAGGGUGCGAGCGUUGUCCGGAAUUACUGGGCGUAAAGCGCACGUAGGCGGCUUGGUAUGUCGGGCGUGAAAUCCCCGGGCUCAACCUGGGAACUGCAUCCGAAACUGCCUUGCUAGAGUAUGGGAGAGGGAAGUGGAAUUUCCGGUGUAGCGGUGAAAUGCGUAGAUAUCGGAAGGAACAUCAGUGGCGAAGGCGACUUCCUGGACCAAUACUGACGCUCAGGUGCGAAAGCGUGGGGAGCAAACAGG